rfam:Ixodes scapularis strain Wikel colony gcontig_1107728811988, whole genome shotgun sequence.
UCCUGGUUAGCUCAGUUGGUAGAGCGCUCCACCGGAAAUGGAGAGGUCCGUGGUUCGACACCAGGUCCGGCGA